GCCCACCCCUGAUGCCACCUUCUUCGAUGCGACGUUGUCGACACCGUCGCCAACAAGUACGGCUGGGACCCCGUCACGGAGGUCCGGGUCUGGCCGCUCAACACCGAGGGCGCGCUCGUCGGCGCCGUUCAGCGGUACGAGUUCCGCGCCGGUGCGGGGGCGCCGCGGUCGCGCUGGCACGGGCCUCUGACGGGGCCGUCAACUGGAGCCGCCCCGACGCCCCCGCGGUGGAGGAGGUGGUCUGGCCCGACGGGGUCGACUUCGUCGCCGGCGACGGCGCCCUGGCGUUCGGCACCGGCGUCAGGGACAUGGACAUAGUAGGGCCGUUCGAGCUGGUGGUCUCCGAUGGCGCUGGCGGGGGCCUCGCAGAGCUCCAGCUGCCGUCGGUGUCCUGUCUCCGGCGUUCUUGAGCACCAUUGGGUCGAGGAAGGAGAAGCCAUCCUAUGGACUAGAACAGUUUGUGUGAGAUUUUAUUUUCUGGUGGGUUUAUUAGCUGGCUUGGAAAUGCUCCCUUGACAUUGUCCCAUUCAUCAACACAAAGAUUGUCAGCCUUUACCCAAUUGCAAGAUCUUCAGAAUAAAAAAGGGGAGACUGAGACCGGUAGAAAAGAGAUUCUUCAGUACACAAUAUAUGCAUCUGUUGAUUUUGCAAUUGUCCAGGUUAGAUUCUCUAAAAUAUUCAAGGAUCUCUUGGACAUUUUUUUGGGCAUUGUUGAUCCAUGAAUCAGCUGUUUUCGAAUUCGGAAACAGUUGAAUUCCUGGAAAACCAUUUCACCACACGUGUUCAGUUUGUUAUUUUGAGUCCAUGCCCCCUGCUUACACAGCGGCGAGGCCAACCAGGGCGUACAGGGGCGGAGUCGGCAACUUGGUAGUGCGUCCAUUUACGCGUGGUGGCCUGCGGAUUUGGGUGCAUGACAGCCGGCCAACAUGCUGUGUGGGCGUGAUGUUGUCGACAUGUUGUACAUGAGUGUUGGCUGCCAGAGGCGCGCGUGGCUGACCGAUAUGUGUGUGGUGCUUGAGGAUAGCUUUAUUCAUAUUCUUCCAAUUUCGAGAGAGGAAGAGAACUCAGUAGUACUGCCAAUUUUGGCACGCAAUGUUCGUUUUUCAGAUUCACCAUGAUUGGUAAUGUUGUUUAGUACUUUAACUUUGUCAUGGUUCAAUAAAUAGGCAGUUAAUUUUUGUUGUUUGAAAGGAAAAGCAGUGCUACAAUAGCACGGUUGAUUUUGGUUGCUAGAAGGAAAAUCAGUGCUACAAAUUUUAGAACUAGGAUGUUGUUUUUCACAGUUCGGUCAAGUAUUGCUUAUUUGCAUUGUACGAUCACAACUUUAAGCUUAAUCUUCUUUUAGUUGUGUAGCAUUGUAGACCUGGGUCCUUUAUUCCUAGCAGAUCAACACAUUUGGUCAGAUUUAGCUUAUUUGAUAAUGUGCAAACAAUAAAUGGUGUGAAUAUAUGCGGAGUUCGAUGGAAAACAUUGAAGUGUAUGAUGCUCCAGGCUCGGCGACAAGUGUUGUCGUCAUGAGGCCAGACGACUUGUUGUGCCAAUCCGGUGAGAGCAUCCAAUAGCGGAAAGUCAUCCGAAGAAUCAUGUCCAGUGAGUAGUCCAGCUCCAGCAACAAGACCACAUCUGGUUUUCACCAACAAGCUGGACCAGCGGCAUUGUACUCGGGUUUUGUUUGGUGAGAUUCUCUUCAGAAAACAAGAUUUGUAUUGGUGGUAGAUUGACAGCAACUGACAGCAUCUUCGUCAUCCGCGGUGGCAGUGCCGUCCGCGCGGAAUGCCUUCUGCGUCCGCGCCUCCGCCACCGACACCGCCACGCAGCCAAUGAUGUCGGCAUGUGGUGAAAAAAGGGCCCAAGUGAAAGGUCGACCAAGCUGUAAAAAUUCAGUGAAGAGGAAUUUUUGUGCUCACAGCUCACACCAUGGCGUCCGUUGCCUCUGUUCUUACUUUAUUAUUUUGUUUUUCCCUUCGUCGAUUUUUCACGUCGCCUGACAAGAACAAGAAUUGCAAAGAAGAAGUGAAAAGAAAACACAGAACAAAGGAUGAACGCCAGAGAGCACUACUAUAUAUUUUUCCCCCAAAAUAUGAUGGGCAGUGGUGUGCUUGUUUGCAUUGAUCGCAUGGUGGCCAGCACUUCACCACACAUCUGACGGCGACUGUUUUAUCCAUGAGGUGGAGGAUAAGAGAAGCGCAUCUCUGAAAUUCACAGUUCUGAACCUAAAGAGACACAUCUAGAAAAUGAUUGCACGAGUGGUUCCAGUGUCAUGUACGUCAACAUGGUUGGAGAUUUGGGAUCGGAUGCUGCGCCAAGAGCGAGGGACAGAGGUGCUGAACUAACAGCAGGGGGGAGGGUGAUUCUUCAGGAGGACUAUGAUUGUAUGAUAUGAGAUCCUGACAUUUAGCAAUAAUAAAAGUCUGACACUGAAUGGUUCUUUUCGGAAGUACAGUUGUAAGAUCUAUGAUUCUAGCUUCGACCUUUAACUGGACAGUACUAAUUGGACAUAUAAUUGAUUAUUUAUGCACAACAAGAUAUUCUGUUUGUUUUAGUUUUUCAAUCAGAUUCAUCUAGCCCUUUGUUGAAUUUCUAAUUGUUCCACCCUCUACCUCUGAAACUCAGAAAUCAGAGAAAGGUCAUUGGCAUAUCCCUAUCUCUGACGGAAAUUUGCUAGCGAGGAAGAGGACCAGAAUGUUUUUUCUAUUGUUGGGGAUAUACAUAAUACAUAUAGAUAAAUUUGGACCAUUUAUAACAGAGAUUUCUUGCCAAAAAUAUUAACUCUGUCCAGCAGUGGGCACUGUCAAGGUAAUAACAGGAAUUUGCUGAACCUAAUUGAAAGAAAGAGGGAUGGUAAUCCGAUCGAGAACAUUCUCUAACUAAAAUAGACUUACGAACAAUCAACAAUAUCAAAUAGUUUCAAAUUAACAAAUGUUGUUUGAUUAAAAUACUGAUUUAAGAAUUUGGCGAAUCUAUAAUUCUCUACAUAGAGCCUGUUCGGAAAUGGUCUGGCUCCUCAGAAUCCUCGACUCCGGCUCCUGCUCCCGAAAUACUGCUCCUCGUAAAAAAUAGCCCUGAAAAAAAACUGUUCGACAGACAGCUCCGCUCCUUGAUUCACUUGUGGCGAGUGGAGGAAACAGAAACGAGCGAGUCGUGUGGCCGCUCUGAACCGUUUCCCACUUGGCGGUGGCAGUUCCUUUGUAAAUUUUAUCAACUCCAUGAUAUUGAAGAUCUGAGAUCUGAGAAUUAGCCGCUCCACAAAAUUGCACAGCAGCCCGCUUCACUCCAUGUUUUCAGCUCCGUGGAGCUCAAGCGUUCGGCGCCGCUCCACCAACUCCGGGAGUGGAGUUGAGGAGCAGAGAGAAACCGAACACACCCAUAAUCACUUGGUGCAUUGUUAGACCACUUGGGGACAAUAUCAUCAAUUUCUUGCAUACUGCAAUAAUGCAAGUUUAAAAAGCCAGUUUCUUGUGUUUCUUAUUAUCUCUGUGUUCAGCUAACUGCCAAGAAUCAUAUAAGGAUGCAUCUAAUGAGGUAGAUUUUGUUUAUGCAUUUUUUAAGUGUAUAGGGAUGCUGUAUCUGAUUAACAAAACAUUGUUCAACCUUCUAUGAGUCCACCUAGGGAGCUGCACAAAUUUGGAACAACUUCCAGAACAGGCAUCCAAGCAUUUUGGUCUGCUACCAGUAAGCUGCCAGAGCAAGAUAGCUGGGAGUCUGGGAUGUCGAGUCGUCGAGCCGUCCAAUGCCAAGUUCGCCGGUGGAAGGAGAACAUCCGUCAAGCCGUCCGUCGCCUGAGGCGGCUACACCAGAGGUCCGUGGGUUACUACUCCUUUGCUCUUGCUGGCGACCGGCCUCCAGAGUAGCACUUGCUUGAGAUCUGAUCUAGAACUGAAUUGUGCCCUGCUUUGCUGUGGUCGUAUGCUCUGUGUCCACCGAUGAGUUUCAGAUACAGAUUAGGACCAAAAUUGGAGUAGGUUCAGUCGCGCAAAUGUUGUAUCACUUUGUCAUGGGUAUUGUGCUGUUGAAUUGCUUGUUGGACUGUUCAAACUAAAGUCGUCCAGUCAGUUUGCUACAAUGUUCAUUUGUUUACUUUGGAAGUUCUGUAGAAUUUGGGCCUGAUCACUUUCGAAUUUGUCUGUGGUUUGAGAUUAAUCUUUCCGAGAUGUUAGAGAGUGGGUCCAAGGAUGGAUCUGCCCAUCAGUGUGCAGAGGAUCUUCUAAUUCCUGCAGCUAAUCUUGAUUCAUGGAUA